CUAGGACUUUGGGCUCUCCCGUCUUGAGACUCUUCCGGCAGGGGAAGAGGCUGCGGGGAUGGAGAUCCAGACGGGAUUCUGGAUAUACAACUAGAAGCCUUUUGUGUCUCCUUGUUUGGAAACAAAGCCUCCUAGAGUCACUUAUACAGUGAGAUGGGCAGCAUAUAAUAAAAUAAAUCAGUAUCUCAGAAGCAAAGAGGGCUGAACAGCCUUGGGAGACUUGUCCAGGACCUCUUCCUGCACUUCAGGUACUGUGAGUGAAAAGAUUGGUGAAGAUCCAGAAAUCCAUUGGUCUCAUUUCGAGCUGGAUUAGAGGAUAAAGAGAAAAUGGAGGGACAAUGCCCAGCAAUUGCAGAAACUGGAAAAAGUCCUCCAGCACCUCAGCCUGGGAGCUGUGGGGAGAUCUGGGUAAAAAUUGGGCAGGAGAUCCUGGAGGAUGAAAUCAUCAGGUCAGAAAUACUAUGCUGGAACUUCCGGAAUGUCCACUACCAGGAGGCCAAGGGGCCCCGAGAUAUUUGCAGCCGCCUCCACCACCUUUGCCAUCAAUGGCUGCAGCCCGAAAGACACACGAAGGCUCAGAUGCUGGACCUGGUGCUCCUGGAGCAGUUCCUGGCUAUCCUACCACCAGAGAUGAAGAACUGGAUUCGGGAAUGUGGAGCAGAGACCAGCUCUCAGGCGGUGGCCCUGGCUGAAGGUUUCCUGCUGAGCCAAGCAGAGGAGGAGCAGGAAGAUUUGCAGGUCCAGAGGCCCUUCUUAGAGUCCAUCAUCAGGCAUCCUGAGGGAACAAGGGAGCCAUCAAAUUGGUUACAGAAACUCAUUUUCAGAGGGAUGUCCCAGGCAGAUAUCUCACCAGAGAAUAGAAGGGUACCAUUGCUAUUUGUAGGAUCGUCUUUUUCUGGUGGAGCUGAAAGAACUUCUGGAGCUCAAGUUCAGGGUCUUGUAUCCUUUGAGGAGGUGGCUGUAUCUUUCUCUGAGGAGGAGUGGGCUCGGCUGAAUGUCGAUCAAAAGGCUCUGCAUAGGGAGGUCAUGCUGGAGAAUUCCAGGAAUGUGGCAUCUCUGGGAAUGAAUGGGUAUAAGAAUGAAAAUGACAAGAAACUAUUCCAAACAAUCAAGUGUGAAGAAGGAAAAGGGAUAAUCACAGAUCAAAUGGAAGCAAGAAGGCAAGAAGGAAACAAAUCAAACUAUGGGAGGAAGAAAAGCUCAAUUUUUCAAUUUGCUCCAGUUCAAGACAUCAGUAUUCAUCACAAAGGAAAAAGAAGAAAAUACUUAUGGAAAAAUGUGAAAAUUUUCAAAGAUAAUUUAGAUUUAAAUAAACAUUACAGAACUCACACUAAAGGACAGCAAUUUCAGUACAGGGAGGAUGAAAAAAGUUGCAAUCCGACUUUCCGACUUUCUUUACGUGAGAGAGUAAAGAUGGGAGAGAAACCAUAUAAAUGCAUGGAAUGUGGAAAAAGUUUCAGCAAAAGUAGUUCCCUUGUUUCCCAUAAAAGGAUCCACACGGGGGAGAAACCCUAUAAAUGCAUGGAAUGUGGGAAGAACUUCCGUGAAAAAGGGUCCCUUAGUAUUCAUAAACGGAUCCAUACAGGGGAGAAACCAUAUAAAUGCAUGGAGUGUGGAAAGAGCUUCAGGUGGAGCAGUUUGUUUACUUACCAUAAAAGAAUCCACACAGGGGAAAAACCAUAUAAAUGCAUAGAAUGUGGAAAGAGCUUCCAUGAAAAUGGGGCCCUUACCACUCACAGAAGAAUCCACUCAGGAGAGAAACCAUAUAAUUGUGAGGAAUGUGGGAAAAUAUUCCGAAAAAGGAGUUUUCUUGCUUCCCAUAAAAGGAUCCACACAGGGGAGAAACCAUAUAAAUGCAUGGAGUGUGAGAAGAGUUUCAGCAAUAGCAGUUCCCUUGCUUUACAUAAAAGGAUCCACACGGGGGAGAAACCAUAUAAAUGCUUGGUAUGUGGGAAGAAUUUCCGUGAAAAGGUCUCUCUUCGAAUUCAUAAAAGAAUCCAUACAGGGGAGAAGCCAUAUGAGUGUAUGGAGUGUGGGAAGAGCUUUAACAAUAGCAGUUCCCUUACUUUACAUAAAAGGAUUCACACAGGGGAGAAGCCCUAUAAAUGCAUGGAUUGUGGAAAGAGCUUCCGUGAAAAUGGGUCCCUUAAUAUACAUAAAAGAAUACAUACAGGGGAGAAACCAUAUGAAUGUAUGGAAUGCAGGAAAAGUUUCAGCAAAAGCAGUUCCCUUGCUUUCCAUAAAAGGAUCCACACAGGGGAGAAGCCAUAUAAAUGCAUGGAGUGUGGAAAGAACUUCCGUGAAAAUUUGUUCCUUGCUAGACAUAGAAGGAUCCACACAGGAGAGAAACCAUAUAAAUGCACAGAAUGUGGAAAGAGCUUCAUGUGGUACACUCAACUUACUUGCCAUAAAAAUAUUCACACAGGGGAGAAGCCAUAUAAAUGCACAGAAUGUGGGAAAAGCUUCAGCAACACAGGUUACCUUACUUCCCAUAAAAGGAUCCAUUCAGGGGAGAAACCCUAUAAAUGCUUGGAAUGUGGAAAAAGUUUCCGCGAAAACGGGUCCCUUACUGUUCAUAAAAGGAUCCAUUCAGGUGAGAAACCAUAUGAAUGCAUUGAGUGCGGAAAGAGCUUCACAUGUAAUAGUCAGCUUACUUCCCAUAAAAGUAUCCAUACAGGUGAGAAACCAUAUAAAUGCCUGGACUGUGGAAAGAGCUUCACUUGGAGCAGUCAGCUUACUUCCCAUAAAAGGAUCCAUUCAGGCACAAAACCAUAUAAAUGUUUGGAAUGUGGGAAGUGUUUCACAUAUAACAGCUACCUUACUUCCCAUAAAAAUGUCCACACAGGGGAGAAACCCUAUAAAUGCAUGGAGUGUGGAAAGAGGUUCAGUAGUAGUAGGCAACUUACUUCACAUAAUAGCAUCCACACCGGAGAGAAGCCAUAUAAAUGCCUAAAAUGUGGAAAGAGCUUUAGCUAUAGCAGUCAACUUACUUCCCAUACCAGUAUCCACACAGGAGAAAAACCAUAUAAAUGUAUGGAAUGUGGAAAAAACUUCAGCAACAGCAGUUCCCUUUCUUUUCAUAAAAGGAUCCAUACAGGGGAGAAACCAUAUAAAUGCUUGGAAUGUGGAAAGACCUUCCGUGAUAAUGGAUCCCUAACUAAUCAUAAAAGAAUCCACACAGGAGAGAAACCAUAUAAAUGCCUGGAAUGUGGAAAAAGCUUCCGUGAAAAUGGGACCCUUACUUCCCACAAAAGGAUCCACACGGGGGAGAAACCAUAUGCAUGUCUGGAGUGUGGAAAGCGCUUCACAUGGAACCAUCAGCUUACUUCUCAUAAAAGUAUCCAUACCGGGGAGAAACCCUAUCAAUGCACAGAGUGUGGGAAGAGCUUCAGCAGUAGCAGUUCCCUCACUUCCCAUAGAAGGAUCCACUCGGGCGAGAAACCAUAUAAAUGCCUGGAAUGUGGAAAGACCUUCAGUGAAAAUGGAUCUCUUUCUAGGCACAAAAGGAUCCAUUCUGGGGAGAAACCAUAUAAAUGCCUGGAAUGUGGAAAGAGCUUCACAUGGAUCAGCCAGCUUACUUCUCAUAAAAGUGUUCAUACAGGAGAGAAACCAUAUCAAUGCACAGAGUGUGGGAAGAGCUUCAGCAGUAGCAGUUACUUUACUUCCCAUAAAAGGAUUCACUCUGGUGAGAAUCCCUAAAAAUACUAGAUGUAGUUGGUUCCAUCCAGCAAUAUCCUACUUCCUGAAGUAGAAAAGUAAGGGGUACAGAGAAGGAGAAUUAAAACAAGUCAAGUCUUCUGACAUCACAAGCAAUCAAGCAUGAACAGAGGAAGAAAACAUCAGGAAUUCAGCUGGAACCAAAAUAAAAUGAUUAACGUAGCACAAAAAUCCUCCAGUUCAAUAUGCUGCCGUCUAGGGGUUCUUCUUGACCAAGAGGAUCACAAAGGAACAAGAUGGGAAUUGCUUCUUAUGUGGAAAAAAACUCGAAAUAAAUGAGACUCCAGUCCAUGGCGUGGGACCAAGAUUACAGACAACCAAUACGGAUGAAGAAAACAUGGAACAUUUUUUAAUCAAAGGAUUCUCUUACUUUACAUUGAUGAACCCACACUAGAGAGAGAGACUAUAUGAAUAUAACAAGUAUGGAAAGGGUUCCAGGAGGGGAAAAUCCUUCUCAUUAAAGGAGCCACAGUGGAAAGAGAAGCCCUGUAAAUGACGGUGGAAAUGGUUUUUUUCCCAGGUUCUGAGUGCAAAUAUUACUUUUCUGUGAUUUUCGUCUUCAGCAUUCUUAGUGUAUCAAAUCUACAGAUGACAUAAAAUUGGGAGUGGUAGUGAUUCCCAAAAAGGUAAAUCACAGAAUUCAAGGUAAUUAACUGAUUUUAAAAAUAGUUUGAAAAAGUAAGCUUCCCAAAAUAUUGACAAGCUAGCACCAUUCUUAUUUUUUCUUUGUGUUGCUUUUUAGCAGGACUUUUCCCCCUUAUUCUUUCUUGCUCCAGCUAUUGUUAAAUAUCACUUUUUCCCCUUCAUAUUCAAAGAGUUUCUUUACAUCUUCUAUUCUACUUAGGGCAACAUUUCUACUUUAUUUUUCUUUGUGGCCUUUUUGUUCCUUUAUAAUCUUGAGAUACUGAGAUAAGGCAACCUUAUGUUCUUGGGAACUUUUCUGGCCUGUUUUUUAGCUAUUCAUUUUUCUCAAGGAGCAUUUUAUUUCUUUAAUCUAACAUGAAAGGCGUUUCUCCUCCAUUCCUUUAUUAAACAAACAUUAUUCAUACUCAGAAUCUGGCUACCAACUUUUUUUCCUAUAUUAUUUGCAAAGGAUUCCAUUUUUUCACUCAUUGAGCCUAUUCCAGCAUUAAUUUCACUACCGCUGCGUAAUUUCUUUGAUUGGUUUUCUCUUUAAAUAUUUAUCUCUUUCUUAGGGAUCUUAGUUUGCUCAUGUUCACUUCAAAGCUCAUGUCACAGUUGCUGUAUUUUACUUCCUUAGAUCAGUGGCUUCUGUCCAAUAAGCCAAAAGUUGGGUUUCUGUGUUCCCUCCCUUCCCCCCUGUUUUUUGGGGGGGGGGCUAUGCUGCCAUUUCUGGAAGUUCUUAAACACAUUUAAAAUCAAUAUAUAGCACUGUUACAGGAUUACACAAGCUUGUGCGCACUUAGGGUGCGGUUUGGCUUUUCAAGCUGUGAUCCCUAAGCCUUCCCCCCAAAUCCCUACAGCAUCUCCUUUGUAGUGUCGGGGAAGAACCUACAGGGGAGAGUCUGUUGAGUGUUCUACCACCAUCCACUUGAUUGUAAGGAAAUAGCUCUCUUUGCAGGGGUUUACUCAGGAGGAAAGGACUGGCAGGCCUCCUGCCUUCUUGUGAAGAGUUUAGCAAAGUGGCUGACAUAUAAGAAAGGCUAAAUUCCCUGUAAAGAGUGCUGGCUCAGUAAGAAAUUUGAAGUCGUUAAUGUGUAUGGAGAGCCGGUUUGGUGUAGUGACUAAAGUGCUGGGCCUGUGAGUUCUAGUCCUCCUUUAAGCAUGAAAACUAGCUGGGCGACUUAGGGCCGAUCCCCUUCUACCUCACAAGGUGGUGGUUGUAGGGAAAACAGGAGGCAGGAGUGUUAGGUAUGUACGCCACCUUAAGUUGACCACAAAAUAAAGGCAGGAUAAAAAUCUAAUGAUAAAUAAAUGUAAAUCACAGUUAAACAACUAUGUUGGAGUUGGAAGCAAAAAGGAGAAAGGGAGAAAAGGAAAAAUAACAAUGACUUCUGUGGGAUUUAUCUUUAUAGCAGCUCUCCAGCCUGGAAUACAUAGACACACACAAGUGUACAAAAAAUCAAAGAUAAUAGUUCAGAUCAUUUUCAUGAAAAAGAUCAAAAUCAUAAUUUUGCAUCUAGCCUUCACUCCUUCCUAAAUUGCUAUAUUUUUCCUGGAUAGCCAAUCCCUGUUUUCUUGGGAUUGGAGCUUCGGCUUCUGUGGCUUUGAGCUAGAAGAGAUGCUCCUACUCUUCAUGUGAAAGCAAAGGAUAAAAGCCAAAUGGAGGUACCCUGUUCCUCUCUUAAAGGUUGCUCAAGAGAGGGAAUGUUUUCCAGUUCUGAUUGUUUGCUAAGAAUAAGGUAUCUGCCUUAUUGAUAGUUUUUCUUCCGUGUUUGAACACCUUGCGAUGGGAUUUCCCCCUGUUCAUCACUAAGGGGAAAUAAAUUUUUGAACAACAAAUUAACCUUGACCACAUAGAAUAAUAUUGUUUGUUCAAAUCUUUUCAUUACAUCAAAGGGCCAGUUCAAAGAGAAUUAACAAUGCCUUCAGUCCAAGCUUUUAGGUCGGUAUAACACUAUUUUUCCAUAAAAGCAUAAGAGAGUUUUAGCUCUAAUCCAUGCUCACUAAACUGAAAGUUCUUCAUAAAUUGAUAAAUUCCAAAUUUAAUAUUAUUUUUAAAUCAAAAUGAGACAACCAUAGAACAAGGGCAAAUCAUGCUUGUCAAUAUCCCUGUGAAUAAAUUUCCAGUAUGAGGAUGUUGACCUUCAGCUUUUUCUAAACUUCCACUGAAAUGUUGAAUAAACAUGAAAAAGAACCAUUUGUGGAGUUAGUCUGCAAAGUUAAGAGUCUUCUGUUCUCCAGUCAUACCAGUAGGUUAGGAACUUCAGAUGUAAAUGUAUCAGGUCCAAAUCAUAAUGUCAUAAGAUACUUUAAUUCUUCAUGUAAACCAUCAGAUGUUAGGAAAGACUGAUUAACAAUAAACUGAUUUAGAGUAC